CAGUAGCCGCGGGAAUACGCAGGGGGCUAGCGUUGCUCGGAAUUACUGGGCGUAAAGGGAGCGUAGGCGGGUCGUUUAGUCAGAGGUGAAAUCCCGGGGCUCAACCUCGGAACUGCCUUUGAUACUGGCGACCUUGAGUAUGGGAGAGGUAAGCGGAACUCCGAGUGUAGAGGUGAAAUUCGUAGAUAUUCGGAAGAACACCAGUGGCGAAGGCGGCUUACUGGCUCAUUACUGACGCUGAGGCUCGAAAGCGUGGGGAGCAAACAGGAUUAGAUACCCCGGUAGUCCCUGUCUCUUAUAC
rnacentral:rRNA from 1 species